rfam:Myotis lucifugus cont2.58383, whole genome shotgun sequence.
AGCUUUGCGCAGUGGCAGUAUCGUAGCCAAUGAGGUUUAUCUGAGGCUCGAUUAUUGCUAAAAAAAAAAUAAAAAUAAAAUCCCUUCCUUGCCUGCGGAGGCCGUCGGCUCAAGAACCAAUGGAUUUAUCCCCAUUUGUCGGAUG